UGGCGGACGGGUGAGUAACGCGUGGGUAACCUGCCUUGUACAGGGGGAUAACAGUUAGAAAUGACUGCUAAUACCGCAUAAGACCACGGAGCCGCAUGGCUCAGUGGGAAAAACUCCGGUGGUAUAAGAUGGACCCGCGUUGGAUUAGCUAGUUGGUGAGGUAACGGCCCACCAAGGCGACGAUCCAUAGCCGACCUGAGAGGGUGACCGGCCACAUUGGGACUGAGACACGGCCCAA
rnacentral:rRNA from 1 species